CUACUGGGGUAUCUAAUCCUGUUUGCUCCCCACGCUUUCGCACCUCAGCGUCAGUAUCGAGCCAGUGAGCCGCCUUCGCCACUGGUGUUCCUCCGAAUAUCUACGAAUUUCACCUCUACACUCGGAAUUCCACUCACCUCUCUCGAACUCAAGACCGGGAGUUUUGAAGGCCAUUCCGGGGUUGAGCCCCGGGAUUUCACCCCCAACUUUCCGAUCCGCCUACGCGCGCUUUACGCCCAGUCAUUCCGAACAACGCUAACCCCCUCCGUAUUACCGCGGCUGCUGGCAC
rnacentral:rRNA from 1 species